rnacentral:rRNA from 1 species
UACGUAGGGUGCAAGCGUUGUCCGGAAUUAUUGGGCGUAAAGAGCUCGUAGGCGGUCUGUCACGUCGGCUGUGAAAACCCGAGGCUCAACCUCGGGCCUGCAGUCGAUACGGGCAAACUAGAGUACUGCAGGGGAGACUGGAAUUCCUGGUGUAGCGGUGAAAUGCGCAGAUAUCAGGAGGAACACCGGUGGCGAAGGCGGGUCUCUGGGCAGUAACUGACGCUGAGAAGCGAAAGCGUGGGGAGCGAACAGG